rnacentral:tRNA from 1 species
GUCUAGUGGAUAAGACUCUGCACUUCCAAUGCAGGGGGCACAGGUUUGAUCCCUGGU